GGUAGGUGUGACGGCCCAUCAUGUCAUAGAUGGACUUCAUGAUGGCCAGCAUCUCCUGGAGGGGGAGGCUGGCAUGAGCCUGCUGCAAGCCCGGGGUGGCUGGAAGGGCUCAAAGGGAGUGGGCGGCAUCCAAGGGUGCAGGGCACCUCCAAGGCAGUGAGUGCAAGGGGCCAGACGAGCUGGAGAGAGAAGCCUGUCCGCUUCCAGGGCACCCAGAGUGAGCUUCUGACUCUAGGGGAAGCUCAUCUUCCAGAGAAGUGAGAGGUGGAUUGCUAUGUGCUUAUCUCCAAAAUGUGACGCUGCAGCAGAAAAAGUGCUUGGACCAAACAAAACCUGCCUGUGGGCCCAUGUGGGAGGGCUCCCCUCUCCACCCAUGCCUUAAGGGACUGCACUGCCCCCUUCACUUGAUGGGGGCCAAGGCCAGGACCUCUGGCUUCUCCACUUAAGUCUCCCCGAGGCCUUUUGUGUAAGACAGUAUGACCGAGAACACUUGCUGAGGUGGACCGAGAUGUGUGGUACAGGGUACCUGAGCCCACACUCCACACCGGGGUAUCCAGGACCGAGCCCAGGAGAGGAGAGCCCACUGGCUGCUGUCCCCGGGGCCAGUCUCUGGAUGGAGAGCGGGAGAAGACAGAGAUUAAAGGCCCACUUGAGCUUCUCGUGGACUGUGCCCCGCAGCAGGAUGGAGAGGCCAACCACAAAGUCCUAUGGGGAAAAGAGAGUGCGGGGCGUGACAUCCAAUCAAUGCCCAGGUUCUAGUUCCAGUUGCUGUGUGGCUUCCACUGAAAUUCAUGCCUCCAACAGGCACAGAGCCUCCCUAAGAGACUGACGGCAUCCAUUCAGGUCGGCACAGGGUUGCUUCCCACUUCACUGAGAAGAUACAAGCCAUGGAGGAAAACUUCCCCAAGCCCUCACUCCACACCUACCCACCUGCCUGCACCUGGCCCAGACGUCUGCACCCCUGCCUGCUCCGAGGCUGAACUGUGCCUGCUGCCAGCGAAGACAAACCUGCCACUUGUGCAGGGGGUUCCGACCCCUCUCGCCUACUCAGGCAAGUGGUGCCAGCAAGUCUCCCACUCUUUCCUCAUCACCUUUUCCUCUCUUCUGGAUCAUUCCCAUCACCAUAUAGACAUACUGUAGAAUCUCGAAUCCUUAGUCAUAUUAAGUAUAGGUAAACCCUGUAAACCAGCAUCCCACGCCAGGCAAGCAUCCCACACAGACUCUUCCCUUGCCCAGGGGCCUGCACAAGGAUGCUCACAGCAACAGCAUUUUU